ensembl:lncRNA
UGCGGCUCACUUGUGGUCCUUCAAAGUGUCUAUCUCGUAACUUUUCCAUUAUUGUUUCUAUUGCCAAGUACCUGAUUUCUAUAUGUUACCGAGUUAAAUCCUUGAAAAGAGAAUCCCUCUGGUUCACCUUGUUCCUGUUUGUGCAGAAAUUUGUUUUAUUUUUGGCUGUGCUGUGUCUCUGUUGCUGUGUGAGGGCUUUUUCUAGCUGCUGUGAUUGCGGGCUAGUCUUCACUGUGGUGUAUGACCUUCUCAUUGUGCUGGCUUCUCUUGUUGUGGAGCACAGGCUCUAGGCAUGUGGGCUCAGUAGUUGUGGCUUAUGGGCUCCAGGGUGCGGGCUCAGAGUUGGGGUGCACAGGCUUAGCUGCUCCAUGACAUGUGGGAUCUUCCCAGACCAGGAAUAGAACCCUUGUCCCCCGCAGUGGAUUCUCAACCACCAGACCACCAGGCAAGUCCCAGUGCAGAACUUUCAAUGUCAGGCCCUCUCCUAAGUGGCAACUCUAUGGAUUGGCCUAACUGCUUUCUAUUCAACUGGUAGCCCACAAAGAAGCUAGGACAAGUGUCAAGUGGAAUUUCUGAUGCCCCAGAACCAUUGUUUUGCUAUGACCAGCCAUAUGUGGAGUGUGUCUUUUGUGCAGUGCUUGACCCAGCCUGGUUAUACUGAUGGAUUUUCACUGCCUUGUGCAUCUUGUGACCAAUAGCCUGAGAAUGCAAAAUGCUGGGGUUAGGAGUGGGUGGGUGGCACUAUGACUGGGUGUUUCUCUGUGUAAGACUGUGAAAAAUGCAGCCAAGAAAACUGGAUGUUACUGCUUUCAUUUUGUUUCAGGAUAGGCCUGCCUGGAUGAUCAAAACAGAUGGAAAAGAGGCAUAUGGGGCAAUAAUCCUGUUCCUUCGCCUCCUGCUUUCUAGUCAACUGGAAACUUCACAAGGGAAAAGAAAAAAAAAAAAUGCUGCUAGACCUUCAACUGUAGUUGGAGAAUCUGGCAAUAUGAAACACUGAGAAUCCCAGGGACAGGGGAGCCUGGUGGGCUGCCGUUUAUGGGGUCGCACAGAGUUGGACACGACUGAAGCGACUUAGCAGCAGCAAGUUUAAGAAACAAAACCAUAGUUUCCUUGGAUGUUCAGAAAAGUGUAAAGCAAUCUCUCCUUUCAAUUAAAGUUCUUUUUAUUUCUUUCUUUUCUCUCUCUCCCUAUUUCCUUUUCAGAGCGGCACCCAAUGUUUUUAUCAGAGUUUUCAGCUUAUUCCCAGAUUAUUUGGUACUUUUAAAAUGACUUGAUUUUUAUUUGACUGUUUGCAUCCAGUUUUAACUUAGUGAUUGUGGCAUAUAUUGACAGAUACUUUAUUCUGUUGGAGAAUCUCAUUAGAUUUUUUUGUACUUUUUUGUUUUAAUUUCAUGUAAGUUAUAAAAACCCUAGUUAACCUGACUUGAAUCUGAUUUGAAAUGUAAUCAGUGGAGGCCUACCUCUACUUCAUUAAGAUGUUGGAAAAUUUGUGUUUUUAUUCAUCUCACUGUAUAAUUAAUUUUGGUUUUGCUUUUUGAUGCAAAUCUGAGUUGUGUUUUAUUCAUAUGAUAAAGGCCCUGGAAUAAAUCACCACCUUUAUACUAUCACAUGGAGCAGAUGGCCCAUAUCAUUGAAAUUUACAAGAUAAGUCCAAAGCCAUUUUUCAGAUACUAAACCAAAGUUGAUGAAGGAUCUUUUUCCUGGAAUUGGAGAGAAAGGUACAAAUUGCCCUCAAUAAAGUUUUCUUUAACUUUCUGUUGUUUCAUAAUUUGAUGACUUGAAGAUAAUGCUAACCUAUCCAGACUCUAGACUUCCUUUUUUUCCUCAAUAGAUUACUUUAAACUAUGUUUUAAAUUAAAUAUAAUGCUUAUCUGUCUACACUAUAUUUAUAGAUUAUUUGGGUCAGCAUCAUUAGUAGCCAAGAUAAUUAGAACACUAAUAUAAAGUGCCUUCAAACGUGUGUGCGUGCUUCACCCUUUAAUUAGAAAGUCCUUUAUAGUUUCAUGUAUGGGGCACCCUUAUCACAUUUAUGGGAGAUUUUUUUCUCCAAAGAAUUAAUUUAAAUGAUUUAGAAAUUAUGUGUGGAGAGGAAUCAUUACUCUUAAUGACUGAACAGAGGGAAUUCAUUUGAAGAAAUAUUGAAAUUAAUAAUCAGGAGUCCAAAUACAAAACUGUCUUAUGGAACUUUGAUUUUAUUUCCAAAAUGAAGUGUAAACUCCUCAUCCCAUGAAGAAAUAAAAAUUUGUUAAUCCAGAUAUGUUAUCUAUGAAAUUAUCUUCACUUAAUCUCAUGAAGUAAAAUUAAAAAUUUUUUCAUGUAACGUGUAAGUUUAAAGUGUACAAGGUGAUGAUUUGAUAUACAUGAAUAUUUGAUAAAUGAUUAUCACAAUAAAAUUAGUUAACAUAUAUAUCAUCUCACUUAGUUGCCAUUUUUGGGAGGUGGUGAGAACUUUUAAGAUCUACUCUCUUAGCAACUUUUAAGUACCCAAUAAAGUUGUUGCUAUUGCAUGGUUAACUAUAAUUAUAAUGCUGUAUGUUAGAUUCUUCAGAACUUAUUCAUUUUAUAGCUGAAAGUUUGUACCAUUGACCAACUUUUCCCUACCCUCUCCCUGGCAACCACCUAUCUACUCUCUGUAUCUAUGAGUUUGAUGUUUUUAGAUUCCACAUGUAAGUGAGAUCAUUCAGUAUUUGUCUUUCUCUGUCUGACUUAUUUCACUUAGUACAGUGGCCUCAAGUUUCAUCUGUGUUGUUACAAAUGGUGAGAUUGCCUUCUUUCUGUAGCUGAAUAAUGUUCUACACACACCGUGUCUUCAUUAAUUAUUCAUCUGCUGCUGGUCACUUAGUUUGUGUAUCUUGGUUACUGUAAAUCAUGCUGCAGUGAACAUCGGGGUAUAAAUAUCUGUUCAAGAUACUG